rnacentral:rRNA from 1 species
AGAGUUUGAUCCUGGCUCAGAUUGAACGCUGGCGGCAUGCCUUACACAUGCAAGUCGAACGGUAGAGUAGCAAUACUCGAGAGUGGCGAACGGGUGAGUAAUAUAUCGGAACGUGCCCAGUCGUGGGGGAUAACGUAGAGAAAUUUACGCUAAUACCGCAUACGAUCUAAGGAUGAAAGCGGGGGACCGUAAGGCCUCGCGCGAUUGGAGCGGCUGAUAUCAGAUUAGGUUGUUGGUGAGGUAAAAGCUCACCAAGCCGACGAUCUGUAGCUGGUUUGAGAGAACGACCAGCCACACUGGGACUGAGACACGGCCCAGACUCCUACGGGAGGCAGCAGUGGGGAAUUUUGGACAAUGGGCGAAAGCCUGAUCCAGCAAUGCCGCGUGUGGGAAGAAGGCCUUCGGGUUGUAAACCACUUUUGUACGGAACGAAACGGUUCGCUUUAAUACAGUGGGCUAAUGACGGUACCGUAAGAAUAGACCCGAACUCCA